rnacentral:rRNA from 1 species
UACAGAGGGCUCAAGCGUUGUUCGGAUUCAUUGGGCGUAAAGGGUGCGUAGGCGGCGCGGUAAGUCGGGUGUGAAAUCUCGGAGCUUAACUCCGAAACUGCAUUCGAUACUGCCGUGCUUGAGGACUGGAGAGGAGACUGGAAUUUACGGUGUAGCGGUGAAAUGCGUAGAUAUCGUAAGGAAGACCAGUGGCGAAGGCGGGUCUCUGGGCCGUAACUGACGCUGAGGAGCGAAAGCAUGGGGAGCGAACAGG